rnacentral:rRNA from 1 species
UACGUAGGGUGCAAGCGUUGUCCGGAAUUAUUGGGCGUAAAGAGCUCGUAGGCGGUCUGUCACGUCGGCUGUGAAAACCCGAGGCUCAACCUCGGGCCCGCAGUCGAUACGGGCAGACUAGAGUUCGGUAGGGGAGACUGGAAUUCCUGGUGUAGCGGUGAAAUGCGCAGAUAUCAGGAGGAACACCGGUGGCGAAGGCGGGUCUCUGGGCCGAAACUGACGCUGAGGAGCGAAAGCGUGGGGAGCGAACAGG